AACGCUAGCGGCGUGCCUAACACAUGCAAGUCUUACGAGAAAGUCCCGUUCGGGGGAUGAGUAAAGUGGCGCACGGGUGAGUAACACGUGGAUAAUCUACCCUUUAGUCGGGAAUAACUCAUCGAAAGAUGGGAUAAUACGCGAUAAUGUUUAUCUGUUACGACGGAUAAGCCAAAGGUGGCCUCUCUAUAGAAGCUACCGCUGAGGGAUGAGUUCGCGCACCAUUAGCUUGUUGGUGGGGUAAUGGCCUACCAAGGCUUCGAUGGUUAGCUGGUCUUAGAGGACGACCAGCCACACUGGAACUGGAACACGGUCCAGACUCCUACGGGAGGCAGCAGUGAGGAAUUUUGCGCAAUGGGGGAAACCCUGACGCAGCAACGCCGCGUGAGUGAGGAAGGUCUUCGGGUCGUAAAGCUCUGUCAGGCGGAAAGAAAUGUUCGCAGGCUAAUAUCCUGCGGAUUUGACGGUACCGCCAAAGGAAGCACCGGCAAACUCCGUGCCAGCAGCCGCGGUAAUACGGGGGGUGCAAGCGUUGUUCGGAAUUAUUGGGCGUAAAGAGCGUGUAGGCGGCCAGGUAAGUCAGAUGUGAAAGUCCCGGGCUCAACUCGGGAAGUGCAUUUGAAACUGCUUGGCUUGAGUAGGAGAGAGGAAAGUGGAAUUCCUGGUGUAGAGGUGAAAUUCGUAGAUAUCAGGAGGAACACCGGUGGCGAAGGCGGCUUUCUGGCUCUAUACUGACGCUGAGACGCGAAAGCGUGGGUAGCAAACAGGAUUAGAUACCCUGGUAGUCCACGCUGUAAACGAUGUUCACUAGGUGUUGGGGGUAUUGACCC
rnacentral:rRNA from 1 species